rnacentral:tRNA from 1 species
GCGCCAGCUCGUCGGGCGGUCGCUGCUCGCCCUCGGCGGGGUGGGCGUCAUCACGCUGGUGCUCGGCUGGUUCGUCGCCGACCGGGCGCUC